CGUCUGUACUUGCAAUUUGACUUUAGCGCUAGAGUAUCAUGACUUUUCUUACACUUAAGUCUUUUGUUCUGUAAUGAAUUAAUAUCCUGUAACAGCCCAAAGAUUAAAAUUCAUUAUCCUGACAACAGAUGUAUGUCUACUUUGACUUGAUCAGACAUCACCCAGUCUGGAAGAAAAGUCCAGGCAGUAAAGCAGAGCAAAGGGAUCAUGUGAUCAUUUAAAAAAUUCUAAUAUCAUAAUUUGUUUUUUCUGUAUUUUUUAUUUGGUGCUUUCACCACCAGUGAACGGCCAUCUGGUUCCAUUCAGGAGGAUGCAGGCGUCUGUACAGUCGAUAUCUCCAAAACUCUGGAACUCACACUGAAACAAUGCAGAUGGAUAAAUAGAACUACAGUUUCAAACUUUUGGCCCGGAUCUGGCGUAGGGCACAAGGCACCAGCUUAGAGGCGUGUGGAAUAAUGAGUGACAGCAUCACAAAGAAGGCUGAGGACCUUCCUCUAUCACGUUGGCUUCAGGGAACAACAGUACUGUGAGAGCCAGGGGUCCUCAGAGAUCACUUUAACAGCAACUGCAGGGCCAGACUACAACAGAACAAGACGUCUUUUAUUCAUAACUACCAGCAGCACUGAGCUGAAGCACUUCAACUGGAGGCAUCACAGCCUUACAACACAAAGUAGGGACAAGGUUCUGCACCAGAGACAAAAAAGGAAAAUGAAGAAACAUCCCUGCAUAUUUUAUCACGUAAAAAAAAGCAUGGGAGGCUGAAUGGAAAUAUAAAGAGAUACAAAGAGUUGCUGAAUAGUUCCUUCACUGGAAGGCCCUGCAUCUUUAGUGAUAAAA